rnacentral:rRNA from 1 species
AACGAACGCUGGCGGCAUGCCUAACACAUGCAAGUCGAACGAAGGCUUCGGCCUUAGUGGCGCACGGGUGCGUAACGCGUGGGAAUCUGCCCUUUGGUUCGGAAUAACAGCUGGAAACGGCUGCUAAUACCGGAUGAUGACGAAAGUCCAAAGAUUUAUCGCCAGAGAAUGAGCCCGCGUUGGAUUAGGUAGUUGGUGGGGUAAAGGCCUACCAAGCCGACGAUCCAUAGCUGGUCUGAGAGGAUGAUCAGCCACACUGGGACUGAGACACGGCCCAGACUCCUACGGGAGGCAGCAGUGGGGAAUAUUGGACAGUGGGCGCAAGCCUGAUCCAGCAAUGCCGCGUGAGUGAUGAAGGCCCUAGGGUUGUAAAGCUCUUUUACCCGGGAAGAUAAUGACUGUACCGGGAGAAUAAGCCCCGGCUAACUCCGUG